AAAAAUAUAAAAAAAUAAAAAAAAAUUAAUGGUCACAUAUAUGGAAAAGGGUGGCUGGCCAUGUGCUAUUUUAGAGUGGUGUGAACCCAAUUUUAUAAAAUUCAAAUCCCAUUUAAUUAAGAAGUCAAGUGGGCAAGUGGGUAGAAAAGCACUCAAGUGUUUUGUGAUAUUUUGAAGAGUUGUGUGAGCCAUUCUAACCCCCAAAUCCGACCACUCUCCCUCCCUCAUUCACUCUCAUCUGAUUUUUGAAGACUCUCUCAAGUGUUCUCUCCAUUUUGAACCCCAAGAACACCAAAGAAACUUGGAAGCUAAGUCUUGGUCUAGGAAGGGUUUUCCCUAAGUUGGUUAGGGUUUUUGAAAGGUUUUGAAGGAGUCAAAGCUUAUAGGAAGGUCCAAACCUUAAGCAAGAACACCAAAGAGUAUUGGCUAAGCGUAACUGGACUGAACGUUGGAGGGUGAAAACCUGCUGAGCGCUAAGGACUCCAAGUAAGAACAAGGGCAAGGCAGAGCAGUGAGCGCUGGAGUCUUCCUUGCAAAUGUACAUGUAGACCGACCUUUUGGGAAGCCUUUUUAUUUUUGGAAAUGUUGUGUAAUUUUCCUACACUAGGCUCACUCUAAUCUUUAUAAAACAUGUUUGUAACUAAAUGUUAAGUAUGGCCAUACGACUUUUUAAAAAGUUUUUU